UACGGAGGAUCCAAGCGUUAUCCGGAUUCAUUGGGUUUAAAGGGUGCGUAGGCGGCUUAUUAAGUCAGCGGUGAAUCCUGGAGCUUAAACUCCAGAACUGCCAUUGAUACUGAUGAGCUUGAGUACACUUGAAGUGGGCGGAAUGUGUCGUGUAGCGGUGAAAUGCUUAGAUAUGACACAGAACACCAUUGCGAAGGCAGCUCACUAAAUUGUCACUGACGCUGAGGCACGAAAGCGUGGGGAUCAAACAG
rnacentral:rRNA from 1 species